UACGGAGGAUCCAAGCGUUAUCCGGAAUCAUUGGGUUUAAAGGGUCUGUAGGCGGCCUUAUAAGUCAGCGGUGAAAGUUUUUGGCUUAACCAAAAAAUUGCCGUUGAUACUGUAGGGCUUGAAUUUUUGUGAAGUAACUAGAAUAUGUAGUGUAGCGGUGAAAUGCUUAGAUAUUACAUGGAAUACCAAUUGCGAAGGCAGGUUACUAACAAACGAUUGACGCUGAUGGACGAAAGCGUGGGUAGCGAACAGG
rnacentral:rRNA from 1 species